UGGGACCUGGGCUGUGCUAGCCUACUGGGUCUCAGCCAGCAGCGUCACGUGGGCUAGGCACUGCUCACCAAUCCCGCUUGAGAGGCGGAUUGGUGACUGAAGUAACUGCAGCGCCCUGUUCCCACAAGUCUGCCCGGUCCCAGAAUGUCCUCUAUUGGAGUCUCCUAGACCGUGGAAGAGUCCCAGUUUCUCUCACUCACCGCAGAAUGGCCUACAACUUGUGAUCCUUCUGCCUCAGCAUCCCAGAGUGCUGAGAUUACAGGAUAUAGAAGACCUGCCCUAGGGUGUUUCAUCUCCUGGAUGGUAUUGCAGGGAAGGAGAAAAGACAGAUGAGGUUUCAUCCUUCAGAGGAGCUCCAGUCUUCACCUUUGGCUUGCAUGUCAUCUCCUGGCUUCUAGCACAGACUCUUUGGCUUCUGCCUUGGAUCUCUCAGACUUUCAGCAUAGAUUCUUCAGCCUUCUGUCACAGACCCAUCAGCCUGCUCAGGGGGACUUGCAUGGGAUACUGCAGUGAACUCCAGACCUUGGAUCGGAUCCUUCAGCCUCUGUCAGAUUGCCCUAGACUCCUCCAUGGAGACGACAGCCUGGCCAGAGGAAGAAGGCAGAGAAUGUCCUGGGGCCCUUCAGUCUCGCUGGACCAGCUGGUGAUGAUCCUAAGCUUCCCCUGGGUGUGUUGGAAGUUUCCUCCUAUGCCCUCAGCUCCUGGGUCUGAAUGGAGGUUGCUGAGUGUAGUCCCGUCAGGCCCACAGGACCUCCCGUGCCACCUCCUGUUCAUUGCCUGCACUUCCCUCAGUUUCCCUGCCUUUUUUCCUUUGUCCUAAUAAAAGUGGGCUAAUCUAGAGAAGUCUUGUCAUAGCCCUUGGAGUCUCAAGCUCAACUAAAGGGUUUUGACCCUCCUG